CGUGGGCGGAAUUUCUGUGCGUCUGUGGCCACGCCUCCGCGCCUGCUGUCAGAGCCCAGUCUGCCCUCAGUCCUAUCCAAUCAGCAGCCUGAAGCCGAGUUGGUGGGGCGGGACUAAUCGUGAAUGGCCAGGACCGAAACAUAUCUUCCUAACAGAAACUUUGGGAAAGUGCAGCACAAUGUAGAGAAUGAAAUAACAAUUAUUCAUAAUCUCACCAUUGAAAGUUCUCAAUUUUUUAAAACUUUUCAAUUUGGAGUCUCUACAGUUUCCCUUCUCUUAACGUGCAACUCUCAGAACUCUUUUUAAAGUCCCCAGGCACCCUGGACUACUCCUGUAAUCUCAGCAGCUCCUGAGGCUGAGACAAGAGGAUCAUGAGUUCAAAGUCAGCCUCACUAGAAAGCGAAGUGCUAAGCAACUCAGUGAGCCCUGUCUCUAAAUAAAAUACAAAAUAGGACUGGGGAUGUGACUCAGUGGUCUAGUGCCCCUGAGUUUAAUCCAUGGUACAAAAAAAAAAAAAAAAAUAGCACAUAUUGUUUUAACAUAAUAGAUUGUGUCAAGAACUGAAAUAAAAUUACAUCUAAAUCACAAUUUUAUCUCUUCUCCUAUUGCUUGGAACCAGAUGUUGGUUAAAAAAGAAAAAGAACCAUUGGAUGAUGUCCAGACUCCAAAAGUCUGAAAUCUGCAAAACCAAGUUUAUCAGUCAGUGACUUCUGUCAAAGUUCUGGGUAACAUUGUUUAUAUAAUUUUGUGACUUAAGAAUUUGACUUUCAUAUUUAAAAUAUAAAAAUAUGGGGCUGGGGAUGUGGCUCAAGCAGUAACGCGCUGGCCUGGCAUCUCAGGGCGCGGGGUUCAAUCCUCAGCACCACAUAAAAUAAAAUAAAGAUGUUGUGUCCACCAAAAACUGAAAAAUAAAUAUUUAAAAAUCUCUCUCUCUAUUCUCUCUCUCUAUCUUAAAACAAAAAAUUAAAAUAUAAAAAUAUAAAUAAGAGACUGUAAUAAUUGAGUUACAAUCAAAACACUCCCUAGAACCUAUAUAAAUUCUUUAUCUUUUUAUCUCUUCCCUCUGUCAACUAAUGAUUUGAGAAAUCACUAGAAUAUUUAAUGAGGGUGAAACUAAGAAUUAUUUAGUUGUUAAAAGUUCAGAAUUUAAAAAUUGGAAUUAUAAAGAACAGUGUUAGCAAACACUGAGCCACUUAACCCAAAUGUUUAUAUUUUCUACCAUUAAAAGGCAAACAACACUUGCAAAUUAAUUGUGAAAUGAUAUUAUCUUUUUCGUUGGUUUGACAUAAAGUCACAGGAAAAAAAUUACUAUCAACUACUGUCAUUUCCUAGGAAAUGCUAAUAUUUUGGCUUAAUUGUUUCAUACCUUUGUAAAAUAAAACAUUACUAGUAAUGGAACCAUAUUUUCUUUCCCAUUUUUCCAGUAGCUCUCAUUAUUUUGACAUGCAUCCUUGCAGUUCACCUGUGUAUUUUAAGUUUCACUUACUGGUAUACAAAAAAAAAAUGUUUUUAAAUUUUUACUUUAAAGUUUUACUGUUCUGUAAGUGAAUUCUAUGUUUUUUUAGAUGUAAGAUGGAAUCUCACUAUGUUGAACAUACUGACCUCAAACUAGAAAUCCUCCUGCCUCAACUUCAUGAGUAGCUAGGAUCAAAGGCAUAAGCCACCACACCUGGCUCCAUGAUCUUCUUAAUUUAAUCAUGUUUUAUUGUGUGGAUAUUAAAUGUUUUAUUUAUUAGUUUCUUAAUGAAGGACAUUUUUUUGC